rnacentral:rRNA from 1 species
GACGAACGCUGGCGGCGUGCUUAACACAUGCAAGUCGAACGGAAAGGCCCUGCUUUUGUGGGGUGCUCGAGUGGCGAACGGGUGAGUAACACGUGAGUAACCUGCCCUUGACUUUGGGAUAACUUCAGGAAACUGGGGCUAAUACCGGAUAGGCGCUCCUGCUGCAUGGUGGGGGUUGGAAAGUUUCGGCGGUUGGGGAUGGACUCGCGGCCUAUCAGCUUGUUGGUGGGGUAGUGGCUUACCAAGGCUUUGACGGGUAGCCGGCCUGAGAGGGUGACCGGCCACAUUGGGACUGAGAUACGGCCCAGACUCCUACGGGAGGCAGCAGUGGGGAAUAUUGCACAAUGGGCGGAAGCCUGAUGCAGCAACGCCGCGUGCGGGAUGACGGCCUUCGGGUUGUAAACCGCUUUCGCCUGUGACGAAGCGUGAGUGACGGUAAUGGGUAAAGAAGCACCGGCUAACUACGUG